rnacentral:tRNA from 1 species
GCAGGGGUACCCAAGCCUGGUCUAAGGGGCUAGCUUCAGGAGCUAGUGGUUUAGUACCUUCGUGGGUUCAAAUCCCACCUCCUGCA